AGGGGUGUAGCUCAGUGGUAGAGUCCUUGCCUGGCGUGCAUGAGGCUCUGGGUUUGACCCCCAGUGCCUUUG
rnacentral:tRNA from 1 species